rnacentral:rRNA from 1 species
UAUCAAGUCAAUGCCGAAUCUUGUCUUAUCUCAGAUGCUAAGCAGGGUUGGGACUGGUUAGUACUGGGAUGGAAGACCACUGGAAAUACCAAUAUUUUGAUAU